UACGUAGGGUGCAAGCGUUGUCCGGAAUUAUUGGGCGUAAAGAGCUCGUAGGCGGUUUGUUGCGUCGGCUGUGAAAUCCCGAGGCUCAACCUCGGGUCUGCAGUCGAUACGAGCAAACUAGAGUGUUGCAGGGGAGACUGGAAUUCCUGGUGUAGCGGUGAAAUGCGCAGAUAUCAGGAGGAACACCGGUGGCGAAGGCGGGGUCUCUGGGCAAAGCAACUGAC
rnacentral:rRNA from 1 species